CCUCAGCAACGUGUGAUUGGAGGUUGGACAUCCGGUUGCACAUCCUCACAUCAAUGCACUGCCAAUGGAUUUUCUCAUUCUGCAUUUACCUUUGGUAUAGAGAGCCAUAUAAGUCAGUCCAACAUAAAUGGUGCCCUCGUCCCACCCGCUGCACUCAUCUCUAUCAUCCAGAAAGGCCUGCAAUAUGUAGAGGCAGAAGUUAGCA
rnacentral:lncRNA from 1 species